UGUAAAUUAGUGGCUGAUGAUUUUGUUAAAGACGAACAAACACUUCUACUUGCAAGAGCAGGUAACUGAUGUUGUUUCUUUCAUGACUUUCAUACUUUCCGGUUCCCUGCUAGCAGAGUUCAUCCACGGGAGACGCUAUUAGCAUGGAAACUCUACGGCAACCCCAAAAGCUAACCUUUAAUCGUGUUUAAUUUUAAUUGAAGGAGUUUUNCAAUCAGAUGAUUCGAAUCUGUCUUUGACUAUUUGUCCACACCACCGNGAUGCCUGUGGUGCUCAUUGGAAAUGCGGGAAAGUGAGGUGUCCCAUUCCAAGUGAGGUAGCUUCUCACAAGUCCUCUGCAAAAGGAGAUCGUAGUGUUAACAGCAAUGAGUCACAGUACAUCUUCUUCAUAACGAAAACAUUGAUCCCAGUAGGAACACUAAUUUGUAAAAGAUGCAAAGAGCAACUUGCCGAUAAAGUGAAGGAUUUUGGUUGACACAACUGCUCGCAAAGGAACAUCCCAUGUGGAUGACGCAACUGAGGGCUUCGAUAACCAAGAAAGUAGUGGAGAAGAAAGCGUGCAACAGGGGAGCGAUAAACAGGCUUCUUCAUGCGACGAGCUAGAGAAGAAAAUGGAGAAGCUUGAGCUUAAAGAUGAAAGCUAUUUUCUGUCGCCAG
rnacentral:lncRNA from 1 species